UGGUACAUAGCUCAGUGGUAGAGUGCAUGCUCAGCAUGCAUAGGACCUGAGUUCAAUUCUCAAUACCAA
rnacentral:tRNA from 2 species